AUGUUGGAAAUAAUCUUGUAGUUGCUUAGUAGUUAAGCUAGCAGCACUAGUUCAGUUUGGGUUUUGCUUGUAGCAGCAAAACGCCAUCUAGACAUUAGCUGUACUUGGUCGGCCACUGUAGCAGGUCGGUCACUGUAGCAGGUUAGUUACUGUACUAGGUCGGUCACUGUAGCACCGACCUAAAAACCUCUAUAUAAGAGGCACCCUAUGUGAAGCAAUAGAGAGAGAAAAAUGUAGCAGUCUAGAGCUGCACCAA